GCAUUAGUAAUUCAAUGGUAGAAUUCUCAUUUCCAUGUGAGAGACCUGGGUUUGAUUCCCAGCCAAUGAA
rnacentral:tRNA from 1 species